rnacentral:rRNA from 1 species
GGCUCUGACUGCUAUUGCACCACAUGUGUUUUUCUUUGAAACAAACUUGCUUUGGCGGUGGGCCCAGCCUGCCGCCAGAGGUCUAAACUUACAACCAAUUUUUUAUCAACUUGUCACACCAGAUUAUUACUAAUAGUCAAAACUUUCAACAACGGAUCUCUUGGUUCUCGCAUCGAUGAAGAACGCAGCGAAAUGCGAUACGUAAUAUGAAUUGCAGAUAUUCGUGAAUCAUCGAAUCUUUGAACGCACAUUGCGCCCUCUGGUAUUCCGGAGGGCAUGCCUGUUUGAGCGUCGUUUCUCCCUCAAACCGCUGGGUUUGGUGUUGAGCAAUACGACUUGGGUUUGCUUGAAAGACGGUAGUGGUAAGGCGGGAUCGCUUUGACAAUGGCUUAGGUCUAACCAAAAACAUUGCUUGCGGCGGCAACGUCUACCACGUAUAUCUUCAAACUUUGACCUCAAAUCAGGUAGGACUACCCGCUGAACUUAAGCAUAUCAAAAGCGGAGGAA